rnacentral:rRNA from 1 species
ACGGGGAGGCAGCAGUGGGGAAUAUUGGACAAUGGGCGCAAGCGUGAUCCAGCCAUACCGCGUGGGUGAAGAAGGCCUUCGGGUUGUAAAGCCCUUUUGUUGGGAAAGAAAUCCAUCUGGUUAAUACCCGGGUGGGAUGACGGUACCCAAAGAAUAAGCACCGGCUAACUUUGUGACAGCAGCCGCGGUAAUACGAAGGGUGCAAGCGUUACUCGGAAUUACUGGGCGUAAAGCGUGCGUAGGUGGUCGUUUAAGUCCGUUGUGAAAGCCCUGGGCUCAACCUGGGAACUGCAGUGGAUACUGGGCGACUAGAAUGUGGUAGAGGGUAGCGGAAUUCCUGGUGUAGCAGUGAAAUGCGUAGAGAUCAGGAGGAACAUCCAUGGCGAAGGCAGCUACCUGGACCAACAUUGACACUGAGGCACGAAAGCGUGGGGAGCAAACAGGAUUAGAUACCCUGGUAGUCCACGGCCUAAACGAUGCGAACUGGAUGUUUUGGCAAUUUGGCACGCUGUAUGGAAGGUAGGAAACUUUUUUGAAUGC